AGUGAACGCUGGCGGUAGGCCUAACACAUGCAAGCCGAACGGCAGCACAGUAAGAGCUUGCUCUUACGGGUGGCGAGUGGCGGACGGGUGAGGAAUACAUCGGAAUCUACUUUUUCGUGGGGGAUAACGUAGGGAAACUUACGCUAAUACCGCAUACGACCUACGGGUGAAAGCAGGGGAUCUUCGGACCUUGCGCGAUUGAAUGAGCCGAUGUCGGAUUAGCUAGUUGGCGGGGUAAAGGCCCACCAAGGCGACGAUCCGUAGCUGGUCUGAGAGGAUGAUCAGCCACACUGGAACUGAGACACGGUCCAGACUCCUACGGGAGGCAGCAGUGGGGAAUAUUGGACAAUGGGCGCAAUCCUGAUCCAUCCAUACCGCGUGGGUGAAGAAGGCCUUCGGGUUGUAAAGCCUUUUUGUUGGGAAAGAAAAGCAGCAGGUUAAUACCUCGCUGUUCUGACGGUACCCAAAGAAUAAGCACCGGCUAACUUCGUG
rnacentral:rRNA from 1 species